AGCGAACGCUGGCGGCAGGCCUAACACAUGCAAGUCGAACGGAUCCUUCGGGAUUAGUGGCAGACGGGUGAGUAACGCGUGGGAACGUGCCCUUUGGUUCGGGACAACACAGGGAAACUUGUGCUAAUACCGGAUAAGCCCUUCGGGGGAAAGAUUUAUCGCCAUUGGAGCGGCCCGCGUUGGAUUAGGUAGUUGGUGAGGUAAAGGCUCACCAAGCCUACGAUCCAUAGCUGGUCUGAGAGGAUGAUCAGCCACACUGGGACUGAGACACGGCCCAGACUCCUACGGGAGGCAGCAGUGGGGAAUCUUGCGCAAUGGGCGAAAGCCUGACGCAGCCAUGCCGCGUGAAUGAUGAAGGUCUUAGGAUUGUAAAAUUCUUUCA
rnacentral:rRNA from 1 species